rfam:Picea glauca, whole genome shotgun sequence.
GUAACGGUGUCUUUAGACACCACCUUUUGUCUUCAAAAAAUUUAUU